GUCUUUGUGGUGUAAAUGGAAAGCAUAUCUGACCGGUAAUCAGAAGGUCUGGAGUUCAAAUCUUGGCAAUGCCA
rnacentral:tRNA from 1 species